GUCAAGAGAGCCUGUUAGCUGAGAGAAAAGACCAUUUCUGAGUGCUGCGCCUCCUCCUUUUCAGAGACAUGGGCAUAUCAACCUGAACCAGCAAGCUUCUGAAAAACUUGUUACAGAAAAUGUGGGAGUACAGCUUCUUCUAAGGGUGGAAAAAGGGCAUGGUGGUACAGGAGACUUCUCUGCUGUUGCUUCAACCUGGCAGCCCAGAUGAAAGAACAGCCUACGAGGGAACAGAUGAGGGACUCUACAGGCAAGGGUAAAAGGAUCAUUUUCCACCAUUCACAAGAAUUGGAUUCCUCCACUGCACAGGCAGCUAAAAUUAGCCUACUCUACAGGCCUUCAACUUUUCAAGCAUUUCUAACAACUCACAGACUCAAUGCAUGCUUUACAGAGCUGUAAGAACCAC